rnacentral:lncRNA from 10 species
CAAGUUUCAGAUCCAAAUAUAGGAAGUUUGGCUUCAGCAUCCAGGUUCUUUCCCAUCAUACCACACUCAAUUAUUCUACAAUAGAACACUGGAGAGAAAGAGAUGCAGGUGGGGAGGAAGGAGGCAGGAAUAAUGGGAAUAGGUGGAAGAGAAGGCGGAAGAUGUAUUUAUCCGGAUACAAUCAAAGAACCAUUUCAGAGGAAAAAGGAGAAUUUUGGUCAGAACUGCCUCACGGUCUCAUAGUUUUGGUUUGCACUUCAGUGGUUAGAGAAGUCUGAACUCCUUUUGCUUUGGAAAGCUGGUGAGGCUAUAAUGACAAAGCAGCCAUCUGCACACCAGGAAGGGGCACUCACCAGACAUCAGAGCUGCCGGCACCUUCACCUUGGACAUCCCAGCCUCCAGAACUGUAAAAAAUAAAUGUUUGUUGUUUAAGCCACCCAGUCUAUUUUAAUUUGUUAUAGCAGCCUAGUAUGGUUUGGCUGUGUCCCCACCUGAAUCUCACCUUGAAUUGUAAUAAUUCCCAUGUGUCAUGGGAGGGACACUGUGGGAGGUAAUUGAAUCAUGGGAUGGGUUUUCCCAUGGUGUUCUCAUGAUAGUGAAUAAGUCUCAUGAGAUCUGAUGGUUCCCCUGCACACAUUCUCUUGCCUGCCACCAUGUAAAAUGUGUCUUUGCUCCUUCUUCACCUUCCGCCACGAUUGUGAGACCUCCCCGCCAUGUGGAACUGUGAGUCCAUUAAACCUCUUUUUCUUUAUAA